rnacentral:tRNA from 1 species
UGUGCCUUUAGCUUAACUGGAUAGAGCAGUUGCCUCCUAAGCGACCGACGUGGGUUCGAGUCCCGCAGGGCACACAUC